rnacentral:rRNA from 1 species
UACGGAGGGUGCGAGCGUUGUCCGGAAUCACUGGGCGUAAAGGGCGCGUAGGCGGCGCGGGCAGUCAACGGUGAAAGCUCGGGGCUCAACUCCGAGUCGGCCGUCGAUACUCCCGUGCUCGAGCACUGUAGAGGCAGGUGGAAUUCCGGGUGUAGCGGUGGAAUGCGUAGAGAUCCGGAAGAACACCGGUGGCGAAGGCAGCCUGCUGGGCAGUAGCUGACGCUGAGGCGCGACAGCGUGGGGAGCAAACAGG